ensembl:snRNA U6 U6 spliceosomal RNA
GUGCUCACUUUGACAGCACAUAUGCUAAAACUUAAACAAUACAAAGAAGAUUAACAUGGCACCUGUGCAAGAGUGAACACAGUUUUAAUUGAUGAUCUUAUGUAUUUA